GUGGCGGACGGGUGAGUAACACGUGAGAAUUCGCCUUUAGGAGGGGGAUAACGAGUGGAAACAUUCGCUAAAACCCCAUAUGCCCCAGGGUGAAAAAGAGGAAAUUAGUAAUACUGAAUAACCUCUGCCUGAAGAGAAGCUCGCGGCUGAUUAGCUAGUUGGUAGGGUAAUGGCUUACCAAGGCGACGAUCAGUAGCUGGUCUGAGAGGACGAUCAGCCACACUGGAACUGAGACACGGUCCAGACUCCUACGGGAGGCAGCAGUGAGGAAUUUUCUGCAAUGGGCGAAAGCCUGACAGAGCAAUACCGCGUGAGGGACGAAGACUUACUGAGUUGUAAACCUCGGUGCCUUAAGGAAGAAGAUCUGACGGUACUUAAGGUGGAAAGCAUCGGCUAACUCCGUGCCAGCAGCCGCGGUAAGACGGGGGACGCAAGUGUUAUCCGGAAUCACUGGGCGUAAAGCGUCUGCAGGUGGUUUCCUAAGUCUACUGUUAAACCUUGAGGCUCAACCUCAAAUCUGCAGUAGAAACUAGGAGACUUGAGUAUAGUAGGGGUAGAGGGAAUUUCCAGUGGAGCGGUGAAAUGCGUAGAUAUUGGAAAGAACACCGAUGGCGAAGGCACUCUACUGGGCUAUUACUGACACUCAGAGACGAAAGCUAGGGGAGCAAAUGGGAUUAGAUACCCCAGUAGUCCUAGCCGUAAACGAUGGAUACUCGAUGUUGGACGUAUCGACCCGUUCAGUAUCUUAGCUAACGCGUUAAGUAUCCCGCCUGGGAAG
rnacentral:rRNA from 1 species